GGCGCCUCGGUCCGCCCGAGACCGGGCGUCUUGCGCUGUGAUGUCCGCAGCUUGGGCGGCGGGGGCGGGGCAGGGGUCGGCGCCCGAGGCCACGCCAGGGUGACUCAUCUCCUCCGGCUGCGCGGCCCCUGGCCGCGAGUGUCUGUAAAUCACUGGGUGAGACGGUGGUGCCGGCCGGGACCAGCAGCUCGCGUAGGGAAAGGGAGCGUCCAGCUUGGAGGUUUUCCUGGGGUCCUUCUCUCCCGUUCUGUCCUUUUGACGAAGCUGUGCCAUGCAGCAUGCAAGAUCCUAGUUCCCCAACCAGCUAUCGUACCUGUGUCCCCUGCAGUGGAAACACAGAGCCUUAACCACUGGACCACCGGGGAAGUCUCUCCCAAACUGAUUUUUAUUUGCAUUGCCCUGAUACCAUUGGUAUUUCUGAUGCAAUACAAUCCUUAUCAAACUCC
ensembl:lncRNA